CGAGUAGCUUCCAUGGAGAAUGGCUUGAAUGCAUUUUCAGUUUUCUAGGGAGGUCUUGUUUGAAUUGAUGUAUUGAAGCAGUCCUCAUAAUUUCAGGGUCUCCCAAAAACUUGUUUCACAUUUUAUGGGCCCAAGGGACUACAUAUUCAUAUGGUUCGCACAGAGUAAGCAGAUGAGUUUUAUCAGAAAGAACUUGGUGUUCUCUUCACUCCACCAAUUGGAGGAGAAAAUGUUGAGAGUCGGAAAGGACUUGAAUCAGAACGUAAAUUGGAAUUAAAUUCGAAGAUGUGGAAAGGGUGUGGCAUCUUAGAGGAGGAAAGUAGUUUAAAGUUACAAACAUUCACACAACAGGUUUUCUUCUUUCACUGUUUGCUUUGGGUUUUUGAAAUAUUAAACGAUAUUUUCUGCUAUUAAGUAUUCUAAAUUGGUGAAGAAUUGUAAAAGAGAGCAAUUGGAGUAGUUUAGGUGGUGUUUAUUAUCAGGUUAAGAUAGAUUCAAUUUGGAAGCUUAGAACUUAGAACUCAACUUCCAUUAUUUUUCCUUUUUCUAUGGUGUAGUUAACUUGAAAUAAUUUGUUCAAGAUGUAAGUUGAGUCAUUCAUUAUUGAAGAGCUGAAAUUGCC